rnacentral:rRNA from 1 species
UGUUGGGUUAAGUCCGUAACGAGCGCAACCCUUGUCCUUAGUUACCAGCACGUUAUGGUGGGCACUCUAAGGAGACUGCCGGUGACAACCGGAGGAAGGUGGGGAUGACGUCAAGUCAUCAUGGCCCUUACGGCCUGGGCUACACACGUGCUACAAUGGUCGGUACAAAGGGUUGCCAAGCCGCGAGGUGGAGCUAAUCCCAUAAAACCGAUCGUAGUCCGGAUCGCAGUCUGCAACUCGACUGCGUGAAGUCGGAAUCGCUAGUAAUCGUGAAUCAGAAUGUCACGGUGAAUACGUUCCCGGGCCUU